CCGUCUGAGGCGUUUACUGGUGAUGGACCCCGGGCGCUGAGGCUAUGCGCCCCCGGGAGGUGCUGGGCCAGGCGGCCCGGCUGGCCUCCUCUGGUCUCCUCCUGCAGGUGGUGUUUCGAUUGAUCACCUUUGUCUUAAAUGCAUUUAUUCUUCGCUUCCUGUCAAAGGAAAUCGUUGGCAUAGUGAAUGUCAGGCUAACACUGCUUUACUCUACCACCAUCUUCCUGGCCAGAGAGGCCUUCCGCAGAGCAUGUCUGAGUGGCAGCACCCAGCGGGACUGGAGCCAGACCCUCAACCUCCUGUGGCUAACAGUCCCUUUGGGUGUGUUUUGGUCCGUGUUCCUGGGCUGGGCCUGGCUACAGUUGCUCGCAGUGCCCGAUCCUGACGUCAUCCCCCACUAUGGAACUGGAGUGGUGUUGUUUGGGUUCUCGGCAGUGGUGGAACUUCUGGGAGAGCCCUUCUGGGUCUUGGCACAAGCACAUAUGUUUGUCAAGCUCAAGGUGAUUGCUGAGAGCCUGUCAGUAAUCCUCAAGAGCGUCCUGACAGCUUUUCUCGUGCUGUGUUUGCCUCACUGGGGACUGUAUAUUUUCUCUUUGGCCCAGCUUUUCUAUACUGCAGUUCUCGUGCUCUGCUAUGUUAUUUAUUUCACAAAGUUACUGGGCUCCCCAGAAUCAGCCAAGCAACAAGUUCUUCCUGUCUCCAGAAUGACAGAUAUGUUACCCAGUAUUACGAGAAGUAGAGCUUUUGUAAAUUCGGAAGAGGCUAAAUUGACUUGGAGUUUCUUCAAACAGUCUUUCUUGAAACAGAUUUUGACAGAAGGGGAGCGGUAUGUGAUGACAUUUUUGAACGUGUUAAAUUUUGGGGAUCAGGGCGUGUAUGAUAUAGUGAAUAAUCUUGGCUCCCUUGUGGCAAGAUUAAUUUUCCAGCCAAUAGAAGAGAGUUUUUAUAUAUUCUUUGCUAAGGUGCUGGAGAGAGAAAAGGAUGCCACACUUCAGAAGGAGGAGGAUGUUGCUGUGGCCGCUGCGGUUUUGGAGUCCCUGCUAAAGCUGGCCCUGCUCACUGGCCUGACCAUCUCUGUUUUCGGCUUUGCCUAUUCUCACCUGGCUUUGGACAUCUAUGGAGGGGCCAUGCUUAGCUCAGGAUCAGGUCCUGUCCUGCUGCGUGCCUAUUGUCUUUACGUCCUCCUGCUUGCCAUCAAUGGAGUGACCGAGUGUUUCACAUUUGCUGCCAUGAGCAAAGAGGAGGUCGACAGGUACAAUUUCACAAUGCUGGCCCUCUCAUCUUCGUUCCUGCUGUUAGCCUAUCUCCUGACCCAUUGGUGUGGCAGCGUGGGCUUCAUCUUGGCCAACUGCUUCAACAUGGGCAUUCGGAUCACACACAGCCUUUGCUUCAUCCACCACUACUACCGGAAGAGCCCCCACAAGCCCCUGACCGGCCUGUUCCUGUCGCCAGUCCUCCUCGGGGCAUUUGCCCUCAGUGGUGGCAUCACUGCUGUUUCCGAGGUGUUCCUCUGCUGUGAGCGGGGCUGGCCAGCCAUGCUGUUGCACGUCGCUGUGGGGGCCCUCUGUUUGGGAGCGACUCUUGGGACAGCGUUCCUCACGGAGACCAAGCUGAUCCACUUUCUUAGGACUCAGUUAGGUGUGUCGAGACUCACUGACAAAACAACGUGACCUCGCGGAAGCCUUGUGGCACCUGGACCAGCUGUGGGGCAGUUUUGUGGGUGGAACAUGUUUUCUAUGCAGAAGAGCCCAGUUAGGGGUCUGUAGUGGAGCGAGACCAACAUACAGUGCUGCAGGUGAAGAGGAAACGAAAGAUCCUUCUCAGCCCAGCUUGCCCGGAGGAGCUUAGAAGGUGACGACAUGGGUAACGGAGACUGCCCGAGGCCUUCUGACUCUUGGCCAACUCAGGUAGGCAAGCCUGGGGAA